rfam:Hordeum vulgare subsp. vulgare, WGS project CAJW01000000 data, contig: morex_contig_41432
GAAACAUUACCUCCAUCCCAAAUUACUUGUCUUUGAUUUAUCUAGAUACGGAUGUAUCUAACACUAAAACAUGUCUAGAUACACCCGUAUAUAGACAAAUCUAAGCCAAGUAAUUUGGGAUGGAGGGAGUACCAU